rnacentral:rRNA from 1 species
UACGUAGGCAGCGAGCGUUGUUCGGAGUUACUGGGCGUAAAGAGUGCGUAGGCGGUUGGCUAAGUUUGGUGUGAAAUCUCCCGGCUCAACUGGGAGGGUGCGCCGAAAACUGGCUGGCUGGAGUGUGGGAAAGGCUAGCGGAAUUCCUGGUGUAGCGGUGAGAUGCGUAGAUAUCAGGAGGAACACCUGCGGUGUAGACGGCUGGCUGGACCACUACUGACGCUGAGGCACGAAAGCGUGGGGAGCAAACAGG